GACGAACGCUGGCGGCGUGCCUAAUACAUGCAAGUUGAGCGAUGAAGAUUGGUGCUUGCACCAAUUUGAAGAGCAGCGAACGGGUGAGUAACGCGUGGGGAAUCUGCCUUUGAGCGGGGGACAACAUUUGGAAACGAAUGCUAAUACCGCAUAACAACUUUAAACAUAAGUUUUAAGUUUGAAAGAUGCAAUUGCAUCACUCAAAGAUGAUCCCGCGUUGUAUUAGCUAGUUGGUGAGGUAAAGGCUCACCAAGGCGAUGAUACAUAGCCGACCUGAGAGGGUGAUCGGCCAAAUUGGGACUGAGAAACGGCCCAAACUCCUACGGGAGGCAGCAGUAGGGAAUCUUCGGCAAUGGACGAAAGUCUGACCGAGCAACGCCGCGUGAGUGAAGGAGGUUUUCGGAUCGUAAAACUCUGUUGGUAGAGAAGAACGUUGGUGAGAGUGGAAAGCUCAUCAAGUGACGGUAACUACCCAGAAAGGGACGGCUAACUACGUG
rnacentral:rRNA from 1 species